GGGGGUCUCCCGGAGCCUCCAGUCGCGGGUCUAAGAGGCCUAGGGCGGGAGCGGCGCGGAAGAAAGAGAGGACUGCGUUUCGGGGCUUUCUGUAAGAGGGGAAAGACGUGUAGAUUGGAGUCAGACUGCACUCCCGUCCUAUUUCUGCAAGUAGAACUCACUGCCCUUAGAAACGGUCUUCUGAGGCUCAGCUGGGAGGCUCUAACUGUAUUACAGAGGACACAUUUUUGUUUGUUUUUAUGUGAAACAUUCACAAGUUGCUUGUACCCCGAGUAUACUGGUUUUCGAACUGUCUAAGUUGAGGAACUGUUUUGAUUUUUUAAAAAACAGAACUUUACUUGGAAGCCCAAGGUCGCUUAGAAACUAGUACCCUCAGAACAUGGAGUGGAAAGGGCGAUCAUGGUAGCAACAGACUGAGGAGUGAAUUUGCACUUGUGAAGGUGGUCUUAAUAUGCUGUUGCUGAAAGAAUGAAUUUCUUCUAGGUGUGCAUGAAACUGAGUAGGGCUGAAGAUGACCUAAAAACGCAGACACAGAAAGGGCGAAUCCUGGAUGGUCUGGAUUUAGAACAUUCAAAUAAAGUCUUAUGGUGAUCAAGAUGGAUUUGCCCAAACCGUCAUCUAGAGAACUAUGAAAUAAACCUAUUGUGACUUUUUUAGCAUUUGGGAGGCCCCAAUCUUUCUUUAAUGAGAACUGCCAUUCCAAGGACACUGGAUAUUCUUCUGAUUGUAAAAUCAUUUUGCUAUAGGCGGAACACGCCUCUGUGUAAUUUUUAAAUUCUGAGUCAGACUAUAAGUAAUUACUCAAUUUUCUUAUUUUAACAAAGAUUCAGAAUGUAUCUCUUUAACCAAAAAGAGUUAUAUCAUAAAAUCUUUUAAAAAUGUAUGCUUUUACAUUGGUUUUGUCCUGUGAUUGAUUUGAUGCCCAAAAGUUAUAAAGUACAGCUAAAUUUGGGAGCCAAGUUAUUAAUAAUUAAAUACUGAUUUAUCUUUGAUGAAGAGUCAAAGAUGGACUGAUUUAAUUACUAUGAAA